rnacentral:rRNA from 1 species
UCAAGUAAUUAAGUGCAUGUGGUGGAUGCCUUGGCAGUCAGAGGCGAUGAAAGACGUGAUAGCCUGCGAAAAGCUCCGGGGAGGCGGCAAAUAUCCUUUGAUCCGGAGAUGUCUGAAUGGGGGAACCCACCUACUUUAAGGUAGGUAUUGCAACAUGAAUACAUAGUGUUGCAAGGCGAACGAGGGGAAGUGAAACAUCUCAGUACCCUUAGGAAAAGAAAUCAAUUGAGAUUCCCUCAGUAGCGGCGAGCGAACGGGGAUCAGCCCAUUAAGUUAUGUGUGUUUUAGUGGAACGCUCUGGGAAGUGCGAACGUAGAGGGUGAUAUUCCCGUACACGAAAGGGCACACAUAAUGAUGACGAGUAGGGCGAGGCACGUGAAACCUUGUCUGAAUAUGGGGGGACCAUCCUCCAAGGCUAAAUACUCCUGACUGACCGAUAGUGAACCAGUACCGUGAGGGAAAGGCGAAAAGAACCCCUGUGAGGGGAGUGAAAUAGAUCCUGAAACCGCAUGCAUACAAGCAGUGGGAGCACCUUCGUGGUGUGACUGCGUACCUUUUGUAUAAUGGGUCAGCGACUUAUAUUCAGUAGCGAGGUUAACCGUAUAGGGGAGCCGUAGAGAAAUCGAGUCUUAAUAGGGCGUUUAGUUGCUGGGUAUAGACCCGAAACCAGGCGAUCUAUCCAUGAGCAGGUUGAAGGUUGGGUAACACUAACUGGAGGACCGAACCCACUGUCGUUGAAAAGCCAGGGGAUGACUUGUGGAUAGGGGUGAAAGGCUAAUCAAGCCUGGUGAUAGCUGGUUCUCCCCGAAAGCUAUUUAGGUAGCGCCUCGGACGAAUACCAUAGGGGGUAGAGCACUGUUUCGGCUAGGGGGUCAUCCCGACUUACCAAACCGAUGCAAACUCCGAAUACCUAUGAGUACUAUCCGGGAGACAGACUGCGGGUGCUAACGUCCGUAGUCAAGAGGAAAACAAUCCAGACCGCCAGCUAAGGCCCCAAAAUCAUAGUUAAGUGGGAAACGAUGUGGGAAGGCAUAGACAGCUAGGAGGUUGGCUUAGAAGCAGCCACCCUUUAAAGAAAGCGUAAUAGCUCACUAGUCGAGUCGGCCUGCGCGGAAGAUGUAACGGGGCUAAAACUAUGUGCCGAAGCUGCGGAUGUAUACUUUGUAUACGUGGUAGGGGAGCGUUCUGUAAGCCGAUGAAGGUGUGUUGAGAAGCAUGCUGGAGGUAUCAGAAGUGCGAAUGCUGACGUGAGUAACGACAAAACGGGUGAAAAACCCGUUCGCCGAAAGACCAAGGGUUCCAGUCCAACGUUAAUCGGGGCUGGGUGAGUCGACCCCUAAGGCGAGGCCGAAAGGCGUAGUCGAUGGGAAAAUGGUUAAUAUUCCAUUACUUCUGUGUAAUGCGAUGAGAGGACGGAGAAGGCUAAAUCAGCCUGGCGUUGGUUGUCCAGGUGAAAGGAUGUAGGCAUGUAUCUUAGGCAAAUCCGGGGUACUCUAUGCUGAGAUCUGAUAGCAAGCUGUACUUGUACAGCGAAGUGGUUGAUGCCAUGCUUCCAGGAAAAGUCUCUAAGCUUCAGUUACACAGGAAUCGUACCCGAAACCGACACAGGUGGUCAGGUCGAGUAGACCAAGGCGCUUGAGAGAACUCUGCUGAAGGAACUAGGCAAAAUGGUACCGUAACUUCGGGAGAAGGUACGCUGUUGUUGGUGAUGGAACUCGCUUCCUGAGCUGACGACAGCCGCAGAAACCAGGCCGCUGCAACUGUUUAUUAAAAACAUAGCACUCUGCAAACACGAAAGUGGACGUAUAGGGUGUGAUGCCUGCCCGGUGCUGGAAGGUUAAUUGAUGGGGUUAGCGUAAGCGAAGCUCUUGAUCGAAGCCCCAGUAAACGGCGGCCGUAACUAUAACGGUCCUAAGGUAGCGAAAUUCCUUGUCGGGUAAGUUCCGACCUGCACGAAUGGCAUAAUGAUGGCGGCGCUGUCUCCAGCAGAGGCUCAGUGAAAUCGAAAUCGCUGUGAAGAUGCAGUGUACCCGCGGCUAGACGGAAAGACCCCGUGAACCUUUACUGCAGCUUGACACUGAACUUUGACCUUACUUGUGUAGGAUAGGUGGGAGGCUUUGAAGCUGGAACGCUAGUUCCAGUGGAGCCGUCCUUGAAAUACCACCCUGGUAAUGUUGAGGUUCUAACUCUGUCCCGUGAUCCGGGACGAGGACCGUGUCUGGUGGGUAGUUUGACUGGGGCGGUCUCCUCCUAAAGAGUAACGGAGGAGUACGAAGGUGCGCUCAGCGUGGUCGGAAAUCACGCGUAGAGUAUAAAGGCAAAAGCGCGCUUAACUGCGAGACCCACAAGUCGAGCAGGUACGAAAGUAGGUCUUAGUGAUCCGGUGGUUCUGUAUGGAAGGGCCAUCGCUCAACGGAUAAAAGGUACUCUGGGGAUAACAGGCUGAUACCGCCCAAGAGUUCAUAUCGACGGCGGUGUUUGGCACCUCGAUGUCGGCUCAUCUCAUCCUGGGGCUGAAGCAGGUCCCAAGGGUAUGGCUGUUCGCCAUUUAAAGAGGUACGCGAGCUGGGUUUAGAACGUCGUGAGACAGUUCGGUCCCUAUCUACCGUGGGCGCUGGAAAUUUGAGAGGAUCUGCUCCUAGUACGAGAGGACCAGAGUGGACGAACCUCUGGUGUACCGUUUGUGACGCCAGUCGCAUCGCCGGGUAGCUAUGUUCGGAAGGGAUAACCGCUGAAAGCAUCUAAGCGGGAAGCCUACCUCAAGAUAAGAUUUCCCUAGGACUUUAUGUCCUCUAAAGAGCCGUUCGAGACUAGGACGUUGAUAGGUUGGAUGUGGAAGCAUAGUGAUAUGUGAAGCUGACCAAUACUAAUUGCUCGUGAGGCUUGACUAU